rnacentral:rRNA from 1 species
UACGAAGGGGGCUAGCGUUGCUCGGAAUCACUGGGCGUAAAGCGCACGUAGGCGGAUUGCUAAGUCAGGGGUGAAAUCCUGGAGCUCAACUCCAGAACUGCCCUUGAUACUGGCGAUCUCGAGUCCGGGAGAGGUGAGUGGAACUGCGAGUGUAGAGGUGAAAUUCGUAGAUAUUCGCAAGAACACCAGUGGCGAAGGCGGCUCACUGGCCCGGUACUGACGCUGAGGUGCGAAAGCGUGGGGAGCAAACAG